UAAAGGAUUCGGGAUUGCACAGACAACCAGUAUGUUUGCUUAGAAGCCGCCACUCAUUCAAAGAGUGCUUAAUCGCUCACUGGUCGAGUGAUCCUGCGCCGAAGAUUUCCGGGGUUACAGCUUACUACCGAAGCUACGGCAUCAGUAAUGAUGGGUAGGGGAGCUUCCCAGACGUGUUGAAGCAUGACCGUAAGGACAUGUGGACAGUAUGGGAGUGAGAAUGUUGGCAUGAGUAUCGAGAUGUGGGUGAGAAUCCCACAGGCCGUAAACCCAAGGUUUCCAGGGGAAGGUUCGUCCGCCGGGGGUUAUGCGGGACCUCAUGUGAGGCGGAAAGGCGUAGGGGCUGGACAACAGGUUGAUAUUCCUAUACGACGGGUAAACGUUUGGGCGAUGGGAUGACAAACAAGGAGAAGCUACGCA
rnacentral:rRNA from 1 species